rnacentral:lncRNA from 1 species
AGUCUUCCACUAGCAGCCUUUGGAUGAAGACAUAGAACUCACAGCUCCUCCUGUGCCAUGCCUGCCUGGAUACUGCCAUGCUCCCACCUUGAUGAUAAUGGACUGAACCUCUGGACCUGUAAGCCAGCCCCAAUUAAAUGUUUUUUAUAAGACUUGCCUUGGUCAUGGUGUCUGUUCACAGCAGUAAAACCCUAACUAAGACAGAAGUUGGUACCAGAAGUGGGGUAUUCUGUGAUGGGCCUGACCAUGCUUUUAUUUGAAAGAAUGUGGAUUUUUGGACUUUGGAUUUGGAACUCAGUGGAAUGCUUUAAAUGGGACUUAAUGGGUCACCUCAGUAGGAAUAUGGAAGACUUUGUUGCUGGGAGUAAUUUGAACUGUGUUGACUUGGCCCAAGAAAUUUCAAAAGAGAAGAAUUUCAGUAUGUGGCAUAAAGACUGUUUUUGUGGUAUUUUGGUGAAGAAUGUGGCUACUUUUUGCCCUUGUCUGAAAAGUCUGCCUGAGGCUAAGGUGAAGAGACUUGGAUUAAUUGAAUUAACUGCAUUGACAAAGAAAGUUUUAAAAAAGCCCAGCAGAGACUCUGUUCUCUGGUUAAGUCUCACAAAGAGAAGUUUGAACAAGCAUAGCAAGCUUAGAAAGGCCAAAUAUAAAAUAUAUGGUUCGAGUAUUAAAGGCAUACCAGGAAGUGAAAUGGAGCAAAAUCCUGUGUUCUAGGAGAUAACAGAUUAAGGGUGUGGGACCUUGGGGCAAGAUCCUACCCAGCUAAAUUAAAUCCAGGCAUGGUGGUACACAUCUUUAAUCCCAUGAGACAGGCAUGCUGAUCUCUGCAUUCAAGGUCAAUCUACAGAGCAAGAACCAGGAUAGCCAAGCUUACGCAGUGAAGGAUUUGGAAAACAGAAAGCCAGUGAUAAUGUAAUAAUACAAGGGAAUCAUGUUCUAGUUCCUGUAAGCAGCAGAACUCGGCAGCUUCAGCCAUGUGGCUCUGGCUGAGUUAAGAAUGGAAAGAACUACUGGGAAAAUUGAUGCUGGUUAGCUGGAGCUAAGGAAUUAGCAGUGAUUAAGAAGAGACCAGCAUCACUGAGGUGAAAUCUUCUGGAAAUUGUUUUCUGGGAGCACAAAGAAGCUGUGUUCCAGAGAUACCCAAGGUUGUACCUCAUGCUGCAGCUGGACUUGGUAAUGUGUAAGAGUCAUUCAGGUGGUACUGCUUGUGAAGGAAUGAAGGGAUCAUGGAGAAAAGGUGAGGCUUAGCACUGUGAGAGGCCAGGGAAGGCCAUUGGAGAAGGUGAAGCCUCAGCUGUAGUUGAUGGCCCAGAACUGAAGGGGUCGUGCAAAGGAUUUGAGGCUUGGCACCCUGAAGAGAGCCUAUGAGAGGCUAUUGGUGAAGCCUAGUUGGAGUGGAACACCCCAGUGUAUUGAAGAUACCAGAGCCAUGGGAUACAUGCUGAGAAAAGCUGCUAACAGGGAGUGGAACCAGCCCAGGAGAAAGCAGUUUGCUGCAGAAAACAAAGAUGAAAAAGGAGUGGAGAUCUGAAGACCGCUUUGACAUCAGCCAUGGAGAUGCAGAGUUUGGAGUUUGCCCAGCUGGUUUCCUGCCUUGCUUUGGGGAUUACAGUUAAUUAAGUUGAAUGAAUCUCAGAAGAGACCUUGAACUUUGGACUUUUAACAUUGUUUCCACUGCUAUAGACUAUGAGGACUUUGAAAGUUGGACUAAAUGCAUUUUGCAUUAUGCUAUGUUUGAGUAUGGCCCCCAUAGACUCAUGUUUUUGAACAAGUCUAUGGGGACCAGGGAGUGAAAUGUGAUGGCUUGUAUAUUCCUGGACCAGGGAGUGGCACCAUCUGAAGGUGUGGCCUUGUUGGAAUAGGUGUGACCUGGUUGGAAUGGGUGUGUCACUGUGGGUGUGGGCAUAAGAUCCUCACCCUAGUUGCCUGGAAGUCAGUCUUCCACUAGCAGCCUUUGGAUGAAGACAUAGAACUCUCAGCUCCUCCUGCGCCAUGCCUGCCUGGAUACUGCCAUGCUCCCUCCCACCUUGAUGAUAAUGGACUGAACCUCUGAACCUGUAAGCCAGCCCCAAGUAAAUGUUUUUUAUAAGACUUGCCUUGGUCAUGGUGUCUGUUCACAGCAGUAAAACCCUAACUAAGACAC